UACGUAGGGUGCGAGCGUUAAUCGGAAUUACUGGGCGUAAAGUGUGCGCAGGUGGCCGCGCAAGUCGAGUGUGAAAUCCCCGGGCUUAACUUGGGAAUUGCGCUCGAAACUACGUGGCUCGAGUGUGGCAGAGGGAGGUGGAAUUCCACGUGUAGCGGUGAAAUGCGUAGAGAUGUGGAGGAACACCGAUGGCGAAGGCAGCCCCCUGGGCUAACACUGACGCUCAUGCACGAAAGCGUGGGGAGCAAACAGG
rnacentral:rRNA from 1 species